GACGAACGCUGGCGGCGCGCCUAACACAUGCAAGUCGAACGAGCGAGAGAGAGCUUGCUUUCUCGAGCGAGUGGCGAACGGGUGAGUAACGCGUGAGGAACCUGCCUCAAAGAGGGGGACAACAGUUGGAAACGACUGCUAAUACCGCAUAAGCCCACAGGUCGGCAUCGACCAGAGGGAAAAGGAGCAAUCCGCUUUGAGAUGGCCUCGCGUCCGAUUAGCUAGUUGGUGAGGUAAUGGCCCACCAAGGCAACGAUCGGUAGCCGGACUGAGAGGUUGAACGGCCACAUUGGGACUGAGACACGGCCCAGACUCCUACGGGAGGCAGCAGUGGGGAAUAUUGCACAAUGGGGGAAACCCUGAUGCAGCGACGCCGCGUGGAGGAAGAAGGUCUUCGGAUUGUAAACUCCUGUUGUUGAGGAAGAUAAUGACGGUACUCAACAAGGAAGUGACGGCUAACUACGUGCCAGCAGCCGCGGUAAAACGUAGGUCACAAGCGUUGUCCGGAAUUACUGGGUGUAAAGGGAGCGCAGGCGGGAAGACAAGUUGGAAGUGAAAUCUAUGGGCUCAACCCAUAAACUGCUUUCAAAACUGUUUUUCUUGAGUAGUGCAGAGGUAGGCGGAAUUCCCGGUGUAGCGGUGGAAUGCGUAGAUAUCGGGAGGAACACCAGUGGCGAAGGCGGCCUACUGGGCACCAACUGACGCUGAGGCUCGAAAGUGUGGGUAGCAAACAGGAUUAGAUACCCUGGUAGUCCACACCGUAAACGA
rnacentral:rRNA from 1 species